rnacentral:rRNA from 1 species
UACGAAGGGGGCUAGCGUUGUUCGGAAUUACUGGGCGUAAAGCGUGCGCAGGCGGCUUCUCAAGUCAGGGGUGAAAGCCCAGAGCUCAACUCUGGAAUUGCCUUUGAGACUGCGGGGCUUGAGUACGAGAGAGGUGAGUGGAAUUCCCAGUGUAGAGGUGAAAUUCGUAGAUAUUGGGAAGAACACCGGUGGCGAAGGCGACUCACUGGCUCGUAACUGACGCUCAUGCACGACAGCGUGGGGAGCAAACAGG